UGAGGAAUAUUGGGCAAUGGGCGAAAGCCUGGCCCAGCCACGCCGCGUGUGUGAUGAAGGCCUUCGGGUCGUAAAGCACUGUGGGGAGGGACGAACAUGCGCAUGAGGAAAUGCUUGCGCACUGACGGUACCUCCUUAGCAAGCACCGGCUAACUCUGUGCCAGCAGCCGCGGUAAUACAGAGGGUGCGAACGUUGCUCGGAUUUACUGGGCGUAAAGCGCGUGUAGGCGGACUCGCAAGUCGGUUGUGAAAUCCCUGGGCUCAACCUAGGAACUCCAUCCGAAACUGCUUGUCUUGAGUAAUGGAGAGGGUGGCGGAAUUCCCGGUGUAGAGGUGAAAAUCGUAGCUAUCGGGAGGAAGAUCAGUGGCGAAGGCGGCCACCUGGACAUUCACUGACGCUGAGACGCGAAAGCGUGGGAAGCAAACAGGAUUAGAUACCCCCGUAGUCC
rnacentral:rRNA from 1 species